GUUCUGGGAUUUACAGGCAUGAGCCGCCAUGCCUGGCCUGCCAUAUAUAAACUUUAGGUAUUUUAGUAUAACGUACUUUGUUCUAAAUUUUUUCUAACCAUAAUACAGUCUUUCUUUAAUUCAGAGUACAUGGUCUUUUCUGCCCAGUAGAGCUUACGUUUGUGUUAAGAAAAUUUUCUUUUAUGAUUACCCAUAGGUCAACAAAUUUUAGCCUUUUAUAGGAAGACUGAAUUUACUUUUCAAAACUGAGUAAAUUGUUAAGCUCAUUUUGAGUGAUGCAAGUAACCCAUCCAAUGCAAUGUAGAUUGUCCUUCUUAUCUUUAUUAUUAAUGAAGAGAAACACAACCAUUUAGAGUUUCUCAAAGGAGAUCGAAUUUUCAAUAUUUAGGGUGUGGGCCAGUGUUUUGGAAUGAACAUGUUUUUUCUUCAUGAGUUUCAUUAAACAUGUUUACUAAUGUUUUACACCAGUGGAAUUUCAUAUCUGUCAGAAUUCAUGAUCUCAUUCAGUUGUUAUUAGAAAAACUUUAGACAAAUUAAAUUUAAUGGAGUUUAACUGAGCAAAGAAUGAUUUGCACAUCAGACAGCCCUCAGAACCAAAAUAGGUUUGGAGCAAUUCUGGUGCUGCAGCGUGGUCAGAUCAUUUUAUGGACAGAAAAAGGAAUGUGACAUUCAAAAAAUGGAAGCGAGGUACUGAAACAGUUGGAUUGGUUACAGCUGGGUGUUUGCCUUAUUUGAACCUGGUUCGAACAGUUUGCUACCUGUGAUUGGCUACUUGUUACAAGAGUAGGUUACAGUCUGUUUACAUAUCAAGUUAGGUUAUAGCUCACUAUGCAUGGAGAAACCUUUAGGCAAAAGUUAAAAUACAUAGGGAGGCAGCUUUAGGCCAAACUGAAUUUAACAAUGACCCCUCCAACCUCUUAAUUAUACCACAAACUUUAAGCAUAAUGUCACUUUCUGUCAUUAUUGUAAAUGAACAGACUUAUUUGGUCUCAGUAUAGAAUUCAUAAUUCUUAUUUGGUCUCAGCUCCCAUCUGUUUUGAGAUCUGUUUGCUUCUUUAAGGCUUUGGUUUGAUUAUGUGGAACAUAGCAUAAGUGACUCCAAGCUGGGUUAGUGUAGUGUGUUAGGGCCUAGUGCAUGAGUUCAGUUCAAAACAGUGGCCUCUCAUAAUUUUGUUUAACAAAUGUUAGAUGAGAGCAUGACCAAAACUUAGAGCUUUGUUGCUAUUCUUAGUUACCAUCAUUUUGGGGUUCUAGUCUCAACAAGUCAAUCAUAGGUUACAGUAGUGUCCUCAUGAUCACAUGUCUUUGGGUUUUUGUUGUUCUAGCUGAAGAGGGACCAUUUGGCAUUCUACAGAUGGCUGCAUGUACACAUUUAAAACUUUUGAGAGAAUACGGCACAUCAGGGAGACUACUAUUAUGGCUAUCAAAAGGAUAAUACCAAGAGUUUGGAGUAUGCUUCUUAGCCAGGUUUCCCAUGAACAAAACCAAUCAAAAUCAAAUAGAUCAAAGAAUGAACCAGAUGAGGAAUCUACCUAUUUUAACUAAGCAGCUUGUUGGUUAAUCCCCUGUGACUGAGUCUCUAUAAUACCUGAUGUAUUCAUCUAUGUGUAAUAAGUGUCAAAAACUGCACAGAUUCCUCUCUUUUCAUAGUUAAUCUAGAGCAAUUUUAUUAUCUAAUAAAACUUUAGAAAGAGAAUUUAAAGAAGUCUGUUGUGCAACCAUAGCCUUUGCAGUUGAACCUGCUGUAGAGCCUAUAAUGAGUGAUACAUUUGUAAGCACUGCCUCAUUUAUAUUUAUUUCAGGCCAUGAGAAAAGAGACCUAAGAAAUGAUGCCCAUCCAGAAGAGUGAAGACUUCCUGAAAAUGUUCUUUUAACCUAAGAUGUAGGUUAAGAGGAGUGAAAAAAUGUUCUGUUUCUGACUGAUGAUGGAGCAACAAAGGUAUGUUUCUUAUUAAUAACACUGAGCAGUUAGGAAGCAGAUGUGCCUCUCCAGGGAAACUCACAAGUGUCCACUGACCUAGUAUCUGCGGAGAACCAUAGCAGUUGUGGUCUCUCUCCCCAGCUUCAAGCAAGGGCAACUUUUCCCUGUGUCUGGUUCUUUUGCUGUCACCUGAAGCCACAGAAAAUGAUCUGAACCUGCUCAGUCCCUGGACAUAUCUGGGGAAUACAAAGUCUCAGAGUCGCUCUCUAAGAAUUGCCAGCAUGUUCUAGAGAUUCUUUAGAUGCAUAGCUGCAUGGAGCAAAACAGGGUCAGGGGAUGUGUGCCGAGGCCAAGGUCUUCUCUUAUGUUUCAAAAAUAUUAACAUUUCAGGCCUGUCUUCUUUUAAAGGAUAGCUCAUGUAUAUGAUUUUUUAAAAAAAAAUCUACCAAAUCAAAUAAAGAAGUCCUGGGAGUUCACCCGGUGUUUUCUACAGAACCAAGGUAUUCAUAUUGAGAUCCUUCAAUAUAAUCAGCUAUGUGACCUUGGUUAAGUUAAUUAAUGCCUCUGAAACUGAGGUUCCUCAUCUGUGAAAUGGAGAUAUUCAACAAAGCACCCUGUGGGGAUUAGAUGAGAUUGCACAUCUGACUGCCUAGAGUAUAGUAAGGGGUCACUGUUUCCUCUUCACUCCUCAGGAAAAUUUGAUUGAACAAGGAUAGAAACUUUGAUUCUAGGGACAGAAGGUCUUCAGAAGUCUUUGAGGCCAGAGGGCCUGUCAUAGAACUGCAGUGUAGGUUCAUUAAAACGCUGUCAUCCUAAUGUUUAUCCACAGUAUCUAAUAGAUUUAAAAGGAAGACAAUAUGGCACAGACUAUUUCGGAAACCUAUGCCCAUUCUGCCAAGAGGAUAUCGCUAUUGGUGGUCAGACUAUUUCACUUAUAAGGUUUCUUUUUUCCUUAAGUCAUAAAGAUUAACAUUUACUAAAAAUUUGAGGGUCCAUUAAUGGACUCCCACAUGGCUUUCCUCUUUCCUUUGAGCUGGAUUCAUUUUCACUGAGUCCCGAGUCCUGCACAUCUGACAAUUGCUUCAGACCUUGGACAUGCUUGAAUUAUUUUAUGCAAAUCAUUUGAAAAGGCAAAGUACCACUGUUCUUUCUUGAGUUUCUUCGUAAACUGGUUUCUAAUUUAUCUGCUGCUUUUUCUCGAUCCAAUUUGUGCCUAUGUCUUACUAUAGAUUCUUUGGAAAUAAAGAAAUAAAGAAUA
rnacentral:lncRNA from 1 species